rnacentral:rRNA from 1 species
GUGCCCACCACCGCGGUAAUACGUAGGGUGCGAGCGUUGUCCGGAAUUACUGGGGCGUAAAGAGCUCGUAGGCGGUUUGUCAUGUCGUCUGUGAAAUCCCUCGGCUUAACCGGGGGCGUGCAGGCGAUACGGGCAGACUUGAGUACUACAGGGGAGACUGGAAUUCCUGGUGUAGCGGUGAAAUGCGCAGAUAUCAGGAGGAACACCGGUGGCGAAGGCGGGUCUCUGGGUAGUAACUGACGCUGAGGAGCGAAAGCAUGGGUAGCGAACAGGAUUAGAUACCCUGGUAGUCC